rnacentral:misc_RNA from 1 species
GUGAAUCAUCGAAUUUUUGAACGCAAAUUGCACUUUCUGGGAUUCCGGAAAGUAUGCCUGUUUGAGUGUCAGUUAAAUAAGAAUCGUUGUUGUUUCUGCUUUUCGUGGUGACUCGUCGGAAUUGAUUUGUCUUACCUUCGGUUAAGUGACUUAAAAUUUUUCAUGAUUUUCGAACGUAUUUAAAUUUCUUACUUACUUUUGAGAUAUCGAAUACUUUAUUAGGUUCGGUCAUCCUCAUGAUUCGCACCUAUAAUUUUUCAUUAAUUUACCUCAAAUCAGUUAAAAAUACCCUCGGAACUUA